GGAAGAGUAGCUCAGUUGGUAGAGCAAAUGAACUGAAAAAAGGAUUCUAUAAUUUUACCUUGAUUAAAAAAUAAAAGAGUGCCGUAGAAAAGGCUUACUUCGAGUCAGAAUUUAGAUCUCAAAAAUCUAAGAAAAGUGCAAUUUCCUGAAUAACAGUAGGGAUCAGGUGCAUGUCUGUCUUUUCGCCUUUUGUCUCUUUUUUGCAUAAAAAUUGAAACAGGUGCCGUAGAAUAGUGUUACUUCGCUCAUUACGACGGGGUCGCGGGUUCGAGUCCCGCCUUUUCCA
rnacentral:tRNA from 1 species